rnacentral:rRNA from 1 species
GACGAACGCUGGCGGCGUGCUUAACACAUGCAAGUCGACCGAAGAGCAAUGAAAGCUUGUUCUAUCAUUCUAAGUGGCGACCGGUGAGUAACGCGUAAUCACCUUGCCUCCAGAGGGGACACUGUGGGAACCGACUGCUAAUACCGCAUACGAUCUACCUCGGCAUCGAGGAAAGAUGAAAGGUGGCCUCUAUUUAUAAGCUAUCACUGAAGGAGGGGAUUGCGUCUGAUUAGCUAGUUGGAGGGGUAACGGCCCACCAAGGCGAUGAUCAGUAGCCGGUCUGAGAGGAUGAACGGCCACAUUGGGACUGAGACACGGCCCAGACUCCUACGGGAGGCAGCAGUGGGGAAUCUUCCGCAAUGGACGAAAGUCUGACGGAGCAACGCCGCGUGAGUGAUGACGGCCUUCGGGUUGUAAAGCUCUGUUAAUCGGGACGAAAGGCCUUCUUGCGAAUAGUUAGAAGGAUUGACGGUACCGGAAUAGAAAGCCACGG